rnacentral:lncRNA from 10 species
CUGAGAAGCUGGGACUACAGGCGCCCACCACCAUGCCUGGCUAAUUUUUGUAUUUUUUAGUAGAGAUGGGGUUUCAUCAUGCUAGCCAGGAUGGUCUUGAUCUCCUGACCUUGUGAUCCACCCUCCUCGGCCUCCCAAAGUACUGGGAUUACAGGCGUGAGCCACCAUGUCCGGCCUGGAAUUUGGUCUUAUUUCUUUAUCCAUUCAGCCACUCUCUAUUUUUAAAUUAGAGAAUUUAUUCCAUUUACAUUCAGUGUUAUUAUUGAUUGGAAACUACUACUGCCAGUUUGUUGCGUGUUUUCUGGUUGUCUUGUAACUCCUCUCUUCCUGUUUUCCCUGUUUUCCAUUUCCCAAAACAUACAGAGAAAUGAUUUUCUCUGGUACUAUGUUUUAAUUCGUUGCUUUUUAUUUUUAGAGAAUCUAUUACAGGUUUUUGCAUUGCGGUUGCAAUAAGACUUACAUAAAAUAUCUUACAGAUAUAACAAAUUAUUUUUAAGAGACACCAACUUAUAUUAGAUCACAAGGAAAAUAAUAGAAACAGAAAAAAAAUUUAAAACCUCUACACUUUAAUUCCAUGGCCCCUACAAUUUGACUUUUUGUUGUUUCAGUUUAAAUAUAUUUAUAUUGCCUAUCUCUUAACAAAUUGCUGUAGCUGUUAUUGUUUUUGAUAGAUUUGUCUUUUGAAUUUCCUACUAGAGUUUUGUGUAAAUUGCAUGCCACAAUUACAGUAAUAAAGUAUUCUGAAUUUGUCUGUGUACUUACUUUUACCAGUGGGUUUUUUAACCUUUAAAUGUUUUAUUUUGCACAGUAGUGUUUUUUUUCACUUGAGAUUGAGGAAUUCUCUUUGCAUUUCUUUUUUUUCUUUUUAGAGAUGUAGUCUCCCUCUGUUGCCCAGGCUGCAUGGUGCAAUCACAGCUCACUGCAGCCUCAAUCUGCUGGGCUUAUGUGAUCCUCCUGCCUCAGCCUCCUGAUAACCUGGGACCACAGGUGUGCAUCACCAUGCCCUGGCUAUUUUUGUAAUAUUUUUUGUAGAGACAAGGUCCAUCAAAGUCUCUUAAUAGCAGAACUGAUCAAGAAUUAGUGAGCUUGAAGACAGACUAUUUGAAAAUACAGUCAAAGGAGACAAGAGAAAAAAAGAACAAAAAAGAUUGAAGCACACCUACAAGAUCUAGAAAGCCUCAAAAGGACAAAUGUAAGAGUUACUGGCCUUACUGAGGAGGUAGAGAAAGAUAUAGGGGUAGACAGUUUAUUCAAAGGGAUAAUAACAAACUUCCUAAACCUAGAGAAAGAUAUCAAUAUCCAAGUACAAGAAAGUUAUAGAACACCAAGCACAUUUAACCCAAAGAAGACUAACUCAAGGCAUUUAAUAAUCAAAUUCCAAAGAUCAUGGAUAAAGAAAGGAUUCUAAAAGCAGCAAGAGAAAAGAAAAAAAUAACAUACAAUCGAGGUCCAAUAUGUCUGGUAGCAGACUUUUCAAUGAAAACAUUACAGGCCAGGAGAGAGUGGCAUAGA